AUGAACGCUGGCGGCGUGCUUCACACAUGCCAGUCGAACGGAAAGGCCGAAGCUUGCUUCGGUACUCGAGUGGCGAACGGGUGAGUAACACGUGGGUGAUCUGCCCUGUACUUCGGGAUAAGCUUGGGAAACUGGGUCUAAUACCGGAUAUGACGAUCUCUUGGAUGGGGUUGUGGAAAGCUUUUGCGGUAUGGGAUGAGCUCGCGGCCUAUCGGCUUGUUGGUGGGGUAAUGGCCUGCCAAGGCGUCGACGGGUAGCCGGCCUGAGAGGGUGUACGGCCACAUUGGGACUGAGAUACGGCCCAGACUCCUACGGGAGGCAGCAGUGGGGAAUAUUGCACAAUGGGCGCAAGCCUGAUGCAGCGACGCCGCGUGGGGGAUGACGGCCUUCGGGUUGUAAACUCCUUUCGCAAUCGACGAAGCCUUUUGGUGACGGUAGGUUGAGAAGAAGCACCGGCUAACUACGUG
rnacentral:rRNA from 1 species